CGCCCAAAUCCUUCGUGCCCUCGGCCAUACCGCAGCCGCCGCCGUCACCACCCAUCGUACCACCGGCCCCAACCAUCCCACCGCCGCCGACCGCCCUCCAUCCCGAGCACUGCCACCGUCGCCACAACCACUCCAGAGCCGCGGGGGCGGCCGCCCUCCAUCCCGAGCACUGCCGCCGUCGCCCCAACCACUCCAGAUCGCAGUGGCGUCCGCCCUCCACCCAGACCACUGCCGCCGGCGUCCACCCACCACCGUCCCCUACCUCUCCAGACCACAAGCGGCGAACACCCUCCUCCGGCUAAUGCCUUCCCUCGUCACCACCCAUCUCGCGAGCUUCCUCCCCGAGCAGGAUUCUUCCUCCCACAAGCUUCACCCGAGCACCAAUCGGGGCUGCCUCCUACGUCCUCUACCCCGAGCAGUGGAGCGUCGACCAUCCUCUCCCGUGAGCAGCUCUGCCUCCUCAACUUCCCGCAACCACGAGAUUUGACAGGUGGCACACAGUUUGAAAACAGAAGUAGCGAUUUAGGUGGAGUAUGUCGAAGGACUCAAGAUUGACAUUGCUUAGUAUAACGUGAUCAGAAAAGCCAUAUCAUCCAAAGGGAGAAGGAACCAUCUAAGGCGCAUCAAAUCAAGCUAGAGGUCUCUGCAUACAUUUUAGUUCAGUAGCAGCUUUUCGAAAGGUUUCCCAAAGAUACACUAGUUGAUGGAUAUUUGGAUGAUCUACAAGCUGCUGAAGGUUUGCAAGACCUGCAAUUAAGUUGGUGGAGUGAUAAUGUAAUGCGCCUUCUUUGUCGAACCUGGAGACUUUGGCAAGUUCUGCUCAUUUUGGUGCUUGUUUUGGCACAUAGGCCACUGUAUGCUCAUUCUGGUUGUGUGACACAUCUAGAAACAUAUAUACUUCUCCCUUUGUAGCACUACAUUGUAGUUGUGUGGCACAUCGAAAAACAUAUAUGUACCUCUUUUUGUGGCAGAACUUGCUUAUAUAUGUUCUAUGUUUA